CACGUAGGGUGCGAGCGUUGUCCGGAAUUAUUGGGCGUAAAGAGCUCGUAGGCGGUGUGUCGCGUCGGCCGUGAAAACCUGCAGCUUAACUGUGGGCUUGCGGUCGAUACGGGCAUCACUGGAGUUCGGCAGGGGAGACUGGAAUUCCUGGUGUAGCGGUGAAAUGCGCAGAUAUCAGGAGGAACACCGGUGGCGAAGGCGGGUCUCUGGGCCGGAACUAACGCUAAGGAGCGAAAGCGUGGGGAGCGAACAGG
rnacentral:rRNA from 1 species